rnacentral:hammerhead_ribozyme from 1 species
AUCCAGCUGACAAGUCCCAAAUAGGAUAAAACUCAAGUCCUGGAU